AGUGAACGCUGGCGGUAGGCCUAACACAUGCAAGUCGAACGGCAGCACAGUAAGAGCUUGCUCUUACGGGUGGCGAGUGGCGGACGGGUGAGGAAUACAUCGGAAUCUACUUUUUCGUGGGGGAUAACGUAGGGAGACUUACGCUAAUACCGCAUACGACCUACGGGUGAAAGCAGGGGAUCUUCGGACCUUGCGCGAUUGAAUGAGCCGAUGUCGGAUUAGCUAGUUGGCGGGGUAAAGGCCCACCAAGGCGACGAUCCGUAGCUGGUCUGAGAGGAUGAUCAGCCACACUGGAACUGAGACACGGUCCAGACUCCUACGGGAGGCGGCAGUGGGGAAUAUUGGACAAUGGGCGCAAGCCUGAUCCAGCCAUACCGCGUGGGUGAAGAAGGCCUUCGGGUUGUAAAGCCCUUUUGUUGGGAAAGAAAAGCAGCAGGUUAAUACCCCGCUGUUCUGACGGUACCAAAAGAAUAAGCACCGGCUAACUUCGUG
rnacentral:rRNA from 1 species